UACAGAGGUCUCAAGCGUUGUUCGGAUUCAUUGGGCGUAAAGGGUGCGUAGGUGGCGCGGUAAGUCGGGUGUGAAAUCUCGGAGCUUAACUCCGAAAUUGCAUUCGAUACUGCCGUGCUUGAGGACUGGAGAGGAGACUGGAAUUCCUGGUGUAGCGGUGAAAUGCGUAGAUAUCAGGAGGAACACCUGUGGUGUAGACAGCUUACUGGACCACUUCUGACGCUGAGACACGAAAGCGUGGGUAGCAAACAGG
rnacentral:rRNA from 1 species